rnacentral:lncRNA from 1 species
GCGGCCGGGAGGAAAACAGCUUGCCCGCGUGGCUCCCGCACGCCCCGCAUCCAUCAUGCGCCCGCCUGCUGCUGCUGGGUCGCAGACGGGCAGGGAGGCCGGCUUACCGGGGCCAGCCGCGCUCUCCUGCACCCCGACCUGCCCCUCUCCGGAGGUGUCCGGGUUCAGCCACCCAGCAGACGCCAGGUGGGCUCACAUCUCUGUCCCAGCCUUCAGCCAAGCUUCCCGAGGAUCCUGCCUGGGCAAGCAGCAAAUGUUUCUCGGGAACAAGGCCCAGGCUGGGUGACACCAGGAGGGUCUCUAGAGCUGGACCUGCAAAGGGGGCCAUGGGCACAUCCAGGUGGCAUCCAGGUGAGGCCGGGGUCCCGGGCAGACACUCUGCCCCUGCCCCCCUGCCCAGGGCGGUGUCUUGCCCCCUGGCAGGUCUCAGACCUGAGAGGUGCGGUCUGGGACUGGGGCCACAAGGACCGAACACGGCCCAGGCUGGUCCAGCACAGUCCAAGAGCCCCAGGGGCAGGGAGAGGGCUUCCCCAGCACGGGGGAGGGGAUCCGGAGCUGCGCCUCCACACACAGGAGAGACGAGGGGGGACCCUGAGGCUCCGGUCAGGGCAGGACUUACCUCUGAGCCCUGCCUCCAGGAGAGGCAGUGGUGAAGCCAGGACAGGAAGGAGCUCCCUCCACGACAAGCCCCGUGAUCGGCACGCGAGCCGAGCCCAGUCCACAGGGGCAGGCCUGUGCCCUCGCCCUCACACACGUCUCUCCACUGGCCCUGGCGAGCAGGCACCCACGUCACAGGCUGUCCGGGACCCCAGAGCAGCCCCAGCCUCCAUGGCCCCAGGCCUAUGGUAUGACUCCAGGACCCCAGUGUCUGGCCUGGGCAGACUCAGGUAAGCCCUGUACCUGUACCACCAGGCCUGGAGCCUCGGGGCUCACUGUGGAUGGGGUCGGAGACCCUGAGCUAACUCUUGGGGCUGGGAGAGGGACAGGCCACGAAGGGCUCAGGACUGGGCAGCUGGGUGGUGGGCAGGGUGCAGCAGAGAGCUCGUGGCAGGCACCGGGGGCAGGGGGUAAGAGCGCAAAGCCCAGCAUGGUAGGACGCGUGCUAAGUCGCUCU